GGAUACUCCUAUUCCCCUCAUAGAGGUACAAUUCACAGUGUGGUUUAACAAAAUCAAUCCUUUUCCCCAGGGACCUUUGGGAAUUGUAGCUCUGUGAGGGGAAUAGAUGUCUC